ACAUGUGGGGGUCAGGGAGAGAGUAAAGUUAUGUUUUAGACUGGUGGUGGUCAGGGAGAGAGUUGAGUUAUGUUCUAGACUGGUGGGGGUCAGGGAGAGAGUUGAGUUAUGUACUAGACUGGUGGGGGUCAGGGAGAGAGUUGAGUUAUGUACUAGACUGGUGGGGGUCAGGGAGAGAGUCGAGUUAUGUUCUAGACUGGUGGGGGUCAGGGAGAGAGUUAUGUACUAGACUGGUGGGGGUCAGGGAGAGAGUUGAGUUAUGUUCUAGACUGGUGGGGGUCAGGGAGAGAGUAGCGUUAUGUUUUAGACUGGUGGUGGUCAGGGAGAGAGUUGAGUUAUGUUCUAGACUGGUGGGGGUCAGGGAGAGAGUUGAGUUAUGUACUAGACUGGUGGGGGUCAGGGAGAGAGUUGAGUUAUGUACUAGACUGGUGGGGGUCAGGGAGAGAGUCGAGUUAUGUUCUAGACUGGUGGGGGUCAGGGAGAGAGUUAUGUACUAGACUGGUGGGGGUCAGGGAGAGAGUUGAGUUAUGUUCUAGACUGGUGGGGGUCAGGGAGAGAGUAGAGUUAUGUACUAGACUGGUGGGGGUCAGGGCGAGAGUUGAGUUAUGUACUAGACUGGUGGGGGUCAGGGAGAGAGUUAUGUACUAGACUGAUGGGGGUCAGGGAGAGAGUUGAGUUAUGUUCUAGACUGGUGGGGGUCAGGGAGAGAGGUGAGUUAUGUACUAGACGGGUGGGGGUCAGGGAGAGAGAUAUGUACUACACUGGUGGGGGUCAGGGAGAGAGUUGAGUUAUGUUCUAGACUGGUGAGGGUCAGGGAGAGAGUUGAGUUAUGUUCUAGACUGGUGGGGGUCAGCGAGAGAGGUGAGUUAUGUAAUAGACUGGUGGGGGUCAGGGAGAGAGUUAUGUACUAGACUGGUGGGGGUCAGGGAGAGAGUUGAGUUAUGUACUAGAUUGCUGGGGGUCAGGGAGAGAGUUGAGUUAUGUUCUAGACUUGUGGGGGUCAGGGAGAGAGUAGCGUUAUGUUUUAGACUGGUGGUGGUCAGGGAGAGAGUUAAGUUAUGUUCUAGACUGGUGGGGGUCAGGGAGAGAGUUGAGUUAUGUUCUAGACUGGUGGGGGUCAGGGAGAGAGGUGAGUUUUGUACUAGAUGGGUGGGGGUCAGGGAGAGAGAUAUGUACUACACUGGUGGGG
rnacentral:lncRNA from 1 species